UACGAAGGGGGGCGAGCGUUGUUCGGAUUUACUGGGCGUAAAGGGCGCGCAGGCGGUCAUUUUUUGUCGAGUGUGAAAGCCCCGGGCUUAACCUGGGAACUGCGCUCGAAACGGGAUGACUAGAGAUCGGGAGAGGAGAGUGGAAUUCCCAGUGUAGAGGUGAAAUUCGUAGAUAUUGGGAAGAACUCCGGUGGCGAAGGCGAGGCGCUGGACCCUUUCUGACGCUGAGGCGCGAAAAGCCAGGGGGAGCAAACGGG
rnacentral:rRNA from 1 species